GGUCGUCAUCAUCAUGAUAAUUGAAAGUGAAACGUCUUAUACAACAGCUAUAUUCUACAUUGAAAUUUAUUUUAUGAUAGUUCUAUAUUCUUACUUAAAUCAUUCACCUCCUAUAUAAGACUCCAUUUCUUUAUUUGCAACGUACCAAAAAAAAAAAAGGCAACUCCUCUCCCUACCUUCACGUAACAAUCCCACUAAACCAAAUGGCCAUUACUCCAUUCAAAGAGCUUGAAAUAGGUCGGCAAUCUCAGUCUAUAUGUGGUCGACUCCUACGCAAAUGGCAAGCUAGCUAAAUCUUUCCAUCAAAAUGGGAAAAAUUUUAGCCUAGACUUUCUGCUACUAGACCAACAGUCUACUUUAAUCCAAGUAACUAUACCCCAAUACCGAGCUUAUCGCUUCAGAGAUGAUCUUCAUGAGGAAAAAGUUUACAAUAUAUCAGAAUUCCAAGUGGAUGCUAGCUAUGGAAAAUACAACUAACGGAUCAUCUCCAUGUCAUUAAAUUCUUAGAUGGCACCAUCAUUAACCCUAUUGAAGAAACGAGUCCUCCAAUUCCUAAUGAGAUGUUUAGGUUUCGACAAUAUAACGAAUUAUGGACUCUCGCCGGAACAAACCAUCACUUACCUAGUAAAGUUUUGGUUACUCUAUUUUUACAAGACCCAUUUCUUAUCAAUAAAUUCCACAUCUUAUAAUUUGCAGA